CCUACGGGAGGCAGCAGUGGGGAAUUUUGGACAAUGGGCGAAAGCCUGAUCCAGCAAUGCCGCGUGAGUGAAGAAGGCCUUCGGGUUGUAAAGCUCUUUUGUCAGGGAAGAAACGGUGAGAGCUAAUAUCUCUUGCUAAUGACGGUACCUGAAGAAUAAGCACCGGCUAACUACGUGCCAGCAGCCGCGGUAAUACGUAGGGUGCAAGCGUUAAUCGGAAUUACUGGGCGUAAAGCGUGCGCAGGCGGUUUUGUAAGUCUGAUGUGAAAUCCCCGGGCUCAACCUGGGAAUUGCAUUGGAGACUGCAAGGCUAGAAUCUGGCAGAGGGGGGUAGAAUUCCACGUGUAGCAGUGAAAUGCGUAGAUAUGUGGGGGAACACCGAUGGCGAAGGCAGCCCCCUGGGUCAAGAUUGACGCUCAUGCACGAAAGCGUGGGGAGCAAACAGGAUUAGAUACCCUGGUAGUCCACGCCCUAAACGAUGUCUACUAGUUGUCGGGUCUUAAUUGACUUGGUAACGCAGCUAACGCGUGAAGUAGACCGCCUGGGGAGACGGUCGCAAGAUUAAAACGUCAAAGGAUUGACGG
rnacentral:rRNA from 1 species